GACGAACGCUGGCGGCAUGCCUAAUACAUGCAAGUCGAGCGGACUUGAAGAGAAGCUUGCUUCUCUGAUGGUUAGCGGCGGACGGGUGAGUAACACGUAGGCAACCUGCCCUCAAGCUUGGGACAACUACCGGAAACGGUGGCUAAUACCGAAUACUUGUUUUCUUCGCCUGAAGGAAACUGGAAAGACGGAGCAAUCUGUCACUUGGGGAUGGGCCUGCGGCGCAUUAGCUAGUUGGUGAGGUAACGGCUCACCAAGGCGACGAUGCGUAGCCGACCUGAGAGGGUGAUCGGCCACACUGGGACUGAGACACGGCCCAGACUCCUACGGGAGGCAGCAGUAGGGAAUCUUCCGCAAUGGGCGAAAGCCUGACGGAGCAAUGCCGCGUGAGUGAUGAAGGUUUUCGGAUCGUAAAGCUCUGUCGCCAGGGAAGAACGCUUGGAGAGUAACUGCUCCCAAGGUGACGGUACCUGAGAAGAAAGCCCCGGCUAACUACGUGCCAGCCGCCGCGGUAA
rnacentral:rRNA from 1 species